rnacentral:rRNA from 1 species
AGUGAACGCUGGCGGUAGGCCUAACACAUGCGAGUCGAACGGCAGCACAGUAAGAGCUUGCUCUUACGGGUGGCGAGUGGCGGACGGGUGAGGAAUACAUCGGAAUCUACUUUUUCGUGGGGGAUAACGUAGGGAAACUUACGCUAAUACCGCAUACGACCUACGGGUGAAAGCAGGGGAUCUUCGGACCUUGCGCGAUUGAAUGAGCCGAUGUCGGAUUAGCUAGUUGGCGGGGUAAAGGCCCACCAAGGCGACGAUCCGUAGCUGGUCUGAGAGGAUGAUCAGCCACACUGGAACUGAGACACGGUCCAGACUCCUACGGGAGGCAGCAGUGGGGAAUAGUGGACAAUGGGCGCAAGCCUGAUCCAGCCAUACCGCGUGGGUGAAGAAGGCCUUCGGGUUGUAAAGCCCUUUUGUUGGGAAAGAAAAGCAGCAGGUUAAUACCCCGCUGUUCUGACGGUACCCAAAGAAUAAGCACCGGCUAACUUCGUG